CCCUAGCCCCGAUGGGAGCGGCAUCCUUUUUUGCUUAAAAAGACGUGAUUUUAAAGUGUUCGUUCUGCAAAAAAGAUACAGCGGACAGCGGGUUAAAGC
rnacentral:sRNA from 1 species